rnacentral:lncRNA from 1 species
UUUGAUCCUCUAUUUUUCUUUUCAUUUUUGAUUUCCCUGAUUUUUUCCUGGACUGAUUCAAGUUAUUAGUCCACCCAGAUGCCCUAAUUUUUGCCUAAGUCACUUGUUUUCAAGUCUUCGACUUAGCGGGCUUUUCUUUUGAUUUUUUUAUUGCAUUUGAAUUUCUCAUCUUUUUUGGAAUAAAUCGUGUGAAAUUUGUUGAAAGGGUCAAGACUGCCUUGUUCCUUUUGUUGGUAAGGGACAACCAUUA